GCCCAACACACAAAACAAGCGGUGAGUGCUUUGGGGUGGGGUGACUGCGUACCUUUUGUAUAAUGGGUCAGCGACUUAUAUUCUGUAGCAAGGUUAACCGUAUAGGGGAGCCGUAGGGAAACCGAGUCUUAACCGGGCGUUAAGUUGCAGGGUAUAGACCCGAAACCCGGUGAUCUAGCCAUGGGCAGGUUGAAGGUUGGGUAACACUAACUGGAGGACCGAACCGACUAAUGUUGAAAAAUUAGCGGAUGACCUGUGGCUGGGGGUGAAAGGCCAAUCAAACCGGGAGAUAGCUGGUUCUCCCCGAAAGCUAUUUAGGUAGCGCCUCGUGAAUUCAUCUCCGGGGGUAGAGCACUGUUUCGGCUAGGGGGCCAUCCCGGCUUACCAACCCGAUGCAAACUGCGAAUACCGGAGAAUGUUAUCACGGGAGACACACGGCGGGUGCUAACGUCCGUCGUGAAGAGGGAAACAACCCAGACCGCCAGCUAAGGUCCCAAAGUCAUGGUUAAGUGGGAAACGAUGUGGGAAGGCCCAGACAGCCAGGAUGUUGGCUUAGAAGCAGCCAUCAUUUAAAGAAAGCGUAAUAGCUCACUGGUCGAGUCGGCCUGCGCGGAAGAUGUAACGGGGCUAAACCAUGCACCGAAGCUGCGGCAGCGAACGUAUCACUUAAAGCGAUUCAGCGGGUUACGAUUGACGGAGCGAAGCGACGUCAAAGCGUAUACAAAGUCGAGUCGGUUUAAGGAUACGUUCGUUGGGUAGGGGAGCGUUCUGUAAGCCUGUGAAGGUGGCCUGUGAGGGUUGCUGGAGGUAUCAGAAGUGCGAAUGCUGACAUAAGUAACGAUAAAGCGGGUGAAAAGCCCGCUCGCCGGAAGACCAAGGGUUCCUGUCCAACGUUAAUCGGGGCAGGGUGAGUCGACCCCUAAGGCGAGGCCGA
rnacentral:rRNA from 1 species